rnacentral:rRNA from 1 species
GAUGAACGCUGGCGGCGUGCCUAAUACAUGCAAGUCGAGCGAACAGACGAGGAGCUUGCUCCUCUGACGUUAGCGGCGGACGGGUGAGUAACACGUGGAUAACCUACCUAUAAGACUGGGAUAACUUCGGGAAACCGGAGCUAAUACCGGAUAAUAUAUUGAACCGCAUGGUUCAAUAGUGAAAGACGGUUUUGCUGUCACUUAUAGAUGGAUCCGCGCCGCAUUAGCUAGUUGGUAAGGUAACGGCUUACCAAGGCAACGAUGCGUAGCCGACCUGAGAGGGUGAUCGGCCACACUGGAACUGAGACACGGUCCAGACUCCUACGGGAGGCAGCAGUAGGGAAUCUUCCGCAAUGGGCGAAAGCCUGAUGAAGCAACGCCGCGUGAGUGAUGAAGGUCUUCGGAUCGUAAAACUCUGUUAUUAGGGAAGAACAAAUGUGUAAGUAACUAUGCACGUCUUGACGGUACCUAAUCAGAAAGCCACGGCUAACUACGUG